rnacentral:rRNA from 1 species
GCCUGGCUGUAACAUAGCAAUCUUGCUCGCCAAAUAACUACGAGUGAAAACUUAAAAUUUAAAGGACUUGACGGUACUUCACACUCAGCCUAGAGGAGCCUGUCUAUUAACCGAUAACCCACGAUCAACCCAACCAUUUCAAGCCACUCAGUCUAUAUACCGCCGUCGCAAGCCUACCUUGUAAAAGAAACAAAGUACGCUCAAUAGCAUACACUAAUACGACAGGUCAAGGUGUAACUAAUGAAAUGGUUCAAGAUGGGCUACAUUAUCUAACAUAGAACAUACGAAUAAGAUUAUGAAAUCAAUCUUUGAAGGCGGAUUUAGCAGUAAGCUGAGAACAUACUACUCAACUGAAACCAAUGCAAUGAAGUGCGU